UACGUAGGGGGCAAGCGUUGUCCGGAAUCAUUGGGCGUAAAGAGCGUGUAGGCGGCCAGAUAAGUCCGCUGUGAAAUCUCGAGGCUCAACUUCGAGCUGUCGGUGGAAACUGUCUGGCUAGAGUCCGGAAGAGGAGAAUGGAAUUCCUGGUGUAGCGGUGAAAUGCGCAGAUAUCAGGAGGAACACCGGUGGCGAAGGCGGGUCUCUGGGCCGUAACUGACGCUGAGGAGCGAAGGCCAGGGGAGCAAACGGG
rnacentral:rRNA from 1 species